GGACGAACGCUGGCGGCGUGCUUAACACAUGCAAGUCGAACGGAAAGGCCCUGCUUGCAGGGUGCUCGAGUGGCGAACGGGUGAGUAACACGUGGGUGAUCUGCCCCUUACUUUGGGAUAAGCCUGGGAAACUGGGUCUAAUACUGGAUAGGACCAUGCUGUAGGUGGUGUGGUGGAAAGAUUAGUUUCGGUAAGGGAUGAGCUCGCGGCCUAUCAGCUUGUUGGUGGGGUAAUGGCCUACCAAGGCGUCGACGGGUAGCCGGCCUGAGAGGGUGGACGGCCACAUUGGGACUGAGAUACGGCGCAGACUCCUACGGGAGGCAGCAGUGGGGGAUAGUGCACAAUGGGCGCAAGCCGGAUGCAGCGACGCCGCGUGGGGGAUGACGGCCUUCGGGUUGUAAACUACUUUCGGCCAUGACGAAGCCCUUGUGGUGACGGUAGUGGUAGAAGAAGCACCGGCUAACUACGUG
rnacentral:rRNA from 1 species